UAAAAAAAAUUGGUUAAUUAGUUAAUUAUUAUAUUCUGAUGAGUAGUAAAAAUUUAAGAUUGUUAUUUACCUUUUGCAUAAUGGCUUAACUAUAAAUUAUUGAUAUCAAAUUUCCCGAAGUUAAAAGAUCUAAUUUAAUAUAAUGAAUUGAUUAAUAUUUAUAUGUUUCAAAAUAUAUAUAAAUAUUAUUUUAGGGGUGAAAGGCUUAUCAAUUUUAGCGAUAUCUGGAUUGAUUUUAAAUGUAUUUAGUACAGGCUUAUUGCUGAUAUUAAAAAUGUUAAGAUUUUUAAUUAAUAGAAAUUUAAAUAAAUAAAUUUUAGGGGUAAUUCUCUUUUAUUAAUUAAAGAUAAAUUAAUUAUUAUUAAUUCUAAUUAUAAAAAUCAUUAUUUAUUUAAUAUUUUUUAAAUUAAUAUAUGUUAAGAUUAGUAUACAUUUAAUAUUUAUAAAGGAACUCGGCAAAAUACUCCUCAACUGUUUAUCAAAAACAUAGCUUUAUGUAUUAAUAUAAAGUGGCGCCUGCCCGGUGAUAAUUUUAACGGCCGCAGUACUUUGACUGUGCUAAGGUAGCAUAAUCAUUUGGCUUUUAAAUGGGGUCUUGUAUGAAGGAGGAAUGGGGAGUUACUGUCUCUAUAAAAAUUAAUAAAAGUUACUUAAAAGGUGAAAAUACCUUUAAAAAUAAAUUAGACGAGAAGACCCUAGGAGUUUAAUAUAUAUUUUGUUGGGGCGACACAACAACAAUUAACUUGUUGAUUUAUAUUUAUAUAUCGGAUAUUUCAUAAAAAUAUAAGCUACCCUAGGGAUAACAGCAUAAUUUAUUAAAGUUUGUGACCUCGAUGUUGGACUAGGGUAAUUUUAUUGUUAGAAAUAAUAAAAGGAAGUUCUGUUCGAACUUAAUUCCCUACAUGAUCUGAGUUCAGACCGGCGAAAGCCAGGUCAGUUUCUAUCUUUUAUAGUUGUAUUAUUAGUACGAAAGGACCAUAAUAUAGUAAUUAUGUUAUAUUAACUUGGCAGAAUUAAUGCGCU
rnacentral:rRNA from 1 species